AGAGGCGUAGUCGAUGGACAAUUGGUUGAUAUUCCAAUACCACUAUUAUCGUUAUUAUCGAUGGUGUGACGGAGAAGGAUAGGAUGUGCCAGCUAUUGGAUGCUGGUCUAAGCGUUGAGGGAGUUAGAACAGGCAAAUCCGUUCUAACAAUCCUAGGGCGUGAUGGGGAAGGUUCUACGGAACCGAAGUAUCUGAUUUCAUGCUUCCAAGAAAAGCAUCUAGAAAGAGAAGUAGUGCCCGUACCGCAAACCGACACAGGUAGAUGAGGAGAGAAUCCUAAGGCCGACGGAAGAAUCACAGUUAAGGAACUAGGCAAAUUGACCCCGUAACUUCGGGAGAAGGGGUGCCUACCAAUUGGUAGGCCGCAGAGAAUAGGCACAAGCAACUGUUUAACAAAAACACAGGUCUCUGCUAAAGCGUAAGCUGAUGUAUAGGGGCUGACGCCUGCCCGGUGCUGGAAGGUUAAGGGGAACACUUAGCGCAAGCGAAGGUGUGAACUUAAGCCCCAGUAAACGGCGGCCGUAACUAUAACGGUCCUAAGGUAGCGAAAUUCCUUGUCAGGUAAGUUCUGACCCGCACGAAUGGCGUAAUGACUUGUGCACUGUCUCAACUGUGAAUCCGGCGAAGUUGUAGUGCGAGUGAAGAUGCUCGCUACCCGCGAUUGGACGGAAAGACCCCGUAGAGCUUUACUGUAGCUUAGCAUUGAAUUUCGGUAUUGUCUGUACAGGAUAGGUGGGAGACUGGGAAAUUAGGGCGUCAGCCUUAAUGGAGUCGUUGUUGGGAUACCACCCUGAUAGUAUUGAAGUUCUAACUGGAUGCCAUGAAACUGGUGACAGGACAUUGUUAGGUGGGCAGUUUGACUGGGGCGGUCGCCUCCUAAAAUGUAACGGAGGCGCCCAAAGGUUCCCUCAGAACGGUCGGAAAUCGUUCGUAGAGUGUAAAGGCAUAAGGGAGCCUGACUGCGAGACCUACAAGUCGAGCAGGGACGAAAGUCGGGCUUAGUGAUCCGGUGGUACCUCGUGGGAGGGCCAUCGCUCAACGGAUAAAAGCUACCUCGGGGAUAACAGGCUGAUCUCCCCCAAGAGUUCACAUCGACGGGGAGGUUUGGCACCUCGAUGUCGGCUCGUCGCAUCCUGGGGCUGAAGUAGGUCCCAAGGGUUGGGCUGUUCGCCCAUUAAAGCGGCACGCGAGCUGGGUUCAGAACGUCGUGAGACAGUUCGGUCCCUAUCCGUCGCGGGCGUAGGAAAUUUGAGAGGAGCUGUCCUUAGUACGAGAGGACCGGGAUGGACUGACCUAUGGUGUACCAGUUGUUUCGCCAGAAGCAUAGCUGGGUAGCUAAGUCGGGAAGGGAUAAACGCUGAAAGCAUCUAAGUGUGAAGCCCACCUCAAGAUGAGAUUUCCCAUAGCAUAAGCUAGUAAGACCCCUUGAAGACUACAAGGUUGAUAGGUCAGAGGUGUAAGUGCGGUAACGUAUUUAGCUGACUGAUACUAAUAGGUCGAGGGCUUGACCAA
rnacentral:ncRNA from 1 species